AUCCAGUUGAGUCUGCAUGCAUCCUAUACCUUUUUGAUAGCAUCGUUGUUUUACUCUUUCUCAUGUCAAUAAACCUGUGGACAACGGAC